rnacentral:tRNA from 1 species
GUGAAUGUGGCUUAGUGGUACAGUACUUGCCUAGCAAGCAUGAAGCCCUGAGUUCAAUUCCUCAGUACCACA